GAUGAAGAACGUAGCGAAAUGCGAUAAGUAAUGUGAAUUGCAGAAUUCAGUGAAUCAUCGAAUCUUUGAACGCACAUUGCGCCCCCUGGUAUUCCGGGGGGCAUGCCUGUCCGAGCGUCAUUACAACCCUCAAGCUCAGCUUGGUGUUGGGCCCCGCCGCCCCGGCGGGCCCUAAAGUCAGUGGCGGUGCCGUCCGGCUCCGAGCGUAGUAAUUCUUCUCGCUCUGGAGGUCCGGUCGUGUGCUCGCCAGCAACCCCCAAUUUUUUUCAGGUUGACCUCGGAUCAGGUAGGGAUACCCGCUGAACGUAAGCAUAUCAAUAAGCGGAGGA
rnacentral:misc_RNA from 1 species